UACGUAGGAGGCGAGCGUUGUCCGGAGUUACUGGGCGUAAAGCGCACGCAGGCGGUCUUGUCAGUCUGUAGGGACAGGGCACGCUUAACUGUGUCAGGCUAUGGAAACUGCAAGACUUGAGGGCUUCAGAGGGAUGGGGAAUUCCGGGUGUAGCGGUGGAAUGCGUAGAGAUCCGGAAGAACACCGGUGGCGAAGGCGGCCUGCUGGGCGAGUAGCUGACACUGAGGCGCGACAGCGUGGGGAGCAAACAGG
rnacentral:rRNA from 1 species